GGCUUCGUAGCUCAGCUGGUAGGGCGUUGAGGAAUGGUGUUUCUGUCGCUGGUUCGAAUCCAGUCGAAUCCU